UAAACAAAUUUGUACUGUGAAACUGCGAAUGGCUCAUUAAAUCAGUUAUAGUUUAUUUGAUGAUACCUUGCUACAUGGAUAACUGUGGUAAUUCUAGAGCUAAUACAUGCGUCAAAGCCGCGACUUCUGGAAGCGGUGUAUUUAUUAGAUAAAAAACCAACGCGGUUCGCCGCUCCCUUGGUGAUUCAUAAUAACUUCUCGAAUCGCAUGGCCUUGCGCCGGCGAUGCUUCAUUCAAAUAUCUGCCCUAUCAAGUUUAGAUGGUAGGAUAGAGGCCUACCAUGCUUUCAACGGGUAACGGGGAAUAAGGGUUCGAUUCCGGAGAGGGAGCCUGAGAAACGGCUACCACAUCCAAGGAAGGCAGCAGGCGCGCAAAUUACCCAAUCCCGACACGGGGAGGUAGUGACAAUAAAUAACAAUAUGGGGCUCAUACGGGUCCCAUAAUUGGAAUGAGUACAAUUUAAAUCCCUUAACGAGGAACAAUUGGAGGGCAAGUCUGGUGCCAGCAGCCGCGGUAAUUCCAGCUCCAAUAGCGUAUAUUAAAGUUGUUGCCGUUAAAAAGCUCGUAGUUGAACUUUCAUGGGCUCACGCGGUCUGCCUCACGGCAAGUACUGUGUGGGCUCGUGCUCCUGGGUGGUGAGCCGCCAUGUCGUUUACUCGGUGUGGCGGGGAACCACCUCUGUUACCUUGAGAAAAUUAGAGUGUUCAAAGCAGGCCAAUGCCCGAAGAUAUUAGCAUGGAAUAACGAAAUAGGACGUGCGGUUCUAUUUUGUUGGUUUCUAGAGUCGCCGUAAUGAUUGAUAGGGAUAGUUGGGGGCAUUAGUAUUCAGUUGGAGAGGUGAAAUUCUUGGAUUUACUGAAGACUAACACUGCGAAAGCAUUUGCCAAGGAUGUUUUCAUUAAUCAAGAACGAAGGUUAGGGGAUCGAAAACGAUCAGAUACCGUUGUAGUCUUAACAGUAAACUAUGCCGACUAGGGAUCGGACGAACUCAUUUUUAUGUGUCGUUCGGCACCUUACGAGAAAUCAAAGUUUUUGGGUUCGGGGGCGAGUAUGGUCGCAAGGCUGAAACUUAAAGGAAUGACGGAAGGCACCACCUGACAUGG
rnacentral:rRNA from 1 species